CAAAGAACACAGUAUAUAAUAAAAAAAUCCCCCCACUGACUAUUAAAUGCGCUACACCCAGUCCAGUAGGUGGCAGUAAUGACCCUUCAGUUGCCAACCGCCACUCAGUUUAGAAGCGCAGAAGAUUAGAACGUUAAGUUUGGGCGCGAAAGGACAACGACAGUGCCAGCGGGGUUUUAGAGGCCCAUUAGAGUGAUUUCCUGCGUUCUCUCCCACAUGGUCAGCGAAUGGAUUAUCCAGUCACAGUACAUAAUGAAAGACUUGCCAAAGUUAGAAGAAGCUGAGUGAAUCUUCAGAGUGAUUCUUCAGAGAGAAGAUGUUAUGAUGUCUCACAAGAACCAAUGAAAUUUAGGAGACCUCAGAGUAUGUCCUUGCUGUGACUGUGCAAAAACAGCUAUGUUAUGCCCGUGAACGGAUUGGUGUAUAAAAGGGCCUGCAGUGUUCAACAGUGUCUCUGUUUAAUGUGAAGAAAAUCCAUCGCAUUUGCACCAGAGGAGGAGCUUCAGUUACUGAAUAGUCCUAAACAAUGAUCUGUGGUAAUGUUUCAAUUUCUAAAUGUUUCAAGAAGUACAGUUGUGUCUUUGAGUUUUGUAUGGUACCUGUAUCUGGUCAUUAAAAAUUGAAUUGAAUUGAAAUUGAAUUGGUUUUCCAAAUUCAUUUUGCUGAUGUAUGUUUAUGAUGUUGUCUUAAUUUUCCAGAGUCCUCUAGUGGCAAUAAUAUUUAUAAUUUUAAUUUGUACUUUUGUAUUUUAUGGCAAAAAAAUUUGAAUCAUACAAUUGUAUUUUACGAUAUAUACGUUUAUUUGCUCGUGGUAUUUAAUUUCUUGAGUGUGAUGUAUCCUGUGUAAACUGUGUGGGUGUAUUGCAAGUUAGUGACUUUUUGGUUUAAAGUAUGUUAAUUGUAGCCCUACAUGGUCUCUGAUUUAAAAACUAGUCAAAACAGACUUGAUUUAGUAACAUUGAAUCCUGCAGUAGAUAAAGCUUGUUUUUUUAUAUUGCUUCAAUGUUGCUAUAUUGUUAAUUACACUAUUGAAAUGAUGUUCAAUAAACAUUGAUCUUAUAUCCA